CCCUGGCCCCGCCCCACGCCCUGGCCCCGCCCCGCUCCCUGAUAGGCGGGGCUAAGGCCGGAGCUCGGCGGGAGCCGAAGUCCGGGAACUGAGUGCCUGCAGAGCGGGUGGAGACCCCUGCCAGGUCCCCUUUUCCGGAGCUGUAGGUCUGAACUCCAAAAGACAGGUCUUUAGCAUGCUAGAAGUACAACAAUCAAGCAAAACUAGGACAAGCUUUAAUCCUUCCAAAUUGGGUGAAGCGGCUACUUUGCUUGUACAAGAAAGGCUAACCUGACCUCUCUAGAACUCCAAGAGUCCUCAAAGGCAGCGGUGGGAGGAGGUCCGAGGGUAUGAGAGUUCUUGCAAAGUUUAGUAGGAAGUUUCCAUUUACCCUUGUGCAGGCAGCACGGAAUAACUAGAAUGUCCUCUUUUUUGUUUGUUUUGGACUAUAUGCUGCUUAGAGUGAUCGCUACCUGUGGUGAUCACAAGCUCUGCAAUGGUAAUUUUAUAUGUCUGAUGAAUAAAAAAGGAAAAUUAACAAUAAAUGUAAUUUCAGUUUA